CAUGCAAGUCGAACGCUUCUUUUUCCACCGGAGCUUGCUCCACCGGAAAAAGAGGAGUGGCGAACGGGUGAGUAACACGUGGGUAACCUGCCCAUCAGAAGGGGAUAACACUUGGAAACAGGUGCUAAUACCGUAUAACAAUCGAAACCGCAUGGUUUUGAUUUGAAAGGCGCUUUCGGGUGUCGCUGAUGGAUGGACCCGCGGUGCAUUAGCUAGUUGGUGAGGUAACGGCUCACCAAGGCCACGAUGCAUAGCCGACCUGAGAGGGUGAUCGGCCACAUUGGGACUGAGACACGGCCCAAACUCCUACGGGAGGCAGCAGUAGGGAAUCUUCGGCAAUGGACGAAAGUCUGACCGAGCAACGCCGCGUGAGUGAAGAAGGUUUUCGGAUCGUAAAACUCUGUUGUUAGAGAAGAACAAGGAUGAGAGUAACUGUUCAUCCCUUGACGGUAUCUAACCAGAAAGCCACGGCUAACUACGUGCCAGCAGCCGCGGUAAUACGUAGGUGGCAAGCGUUGUCCGGAUUUAUUGGGCGUAAAGCGAGCGCAGGCGGUUUCUUAAGUCUGAUGUGAAAGCCCCCGGCUCAACCGGGGAGGGUCAUUGGAAACUGGGAGACUUGAGUGCAGAAGAGGAGAGUGGAAUUCCAUGUGUAGCGGUGAAAUGCGUAGAUAUAUGGAGGAACACCAGUGGCGAAGGCGGCUCUCUGGUCUGUAACUGACGCUGAGGCUCGAAAGCGUGGGGAGCAAACAGGAUUAGAUACCCUGGUAGUCCACGCCGUAAACGAUGAGUGCUAAGUGUUGGAGGGUUUCCGCCCUUCAGUGCUGCAGCUAACGCAUUAAGCACUCCGCCUGGGGAGUACGACCGCAAGGUUGAAACUCAAAGGAAUUGACGGGGGCCCGCACAAGCGGUGGAGCAUGUGGUUUAAUUCGAAGCAACGCGAAGAACCUUACCAGGUCUUGACAUCCUUUGACCACUCUAGAGAUAGAGCUUCCCCUUCGGGGGCAAAGUGACAGGUGGU
rnacentral:rRNA from 1 species